UGAUGCAGCCAUGCCGCGUGUGUGAAGAAGGCCUUCGGGUUGUAAAGCACUUUCAGUCGUGAGGAAGGUGGUGUAGUUAAUAGCUGCAUUAUUUGACGUUAGCGACAGAAGAAGCACCGGCUAACUCCGUGCCAGCAGCCGCGGUAAUACGGAGGGUGCGAGCGUUAAUCGGAAUUACUGGGCGUAAAGCGCAUGCAGGUGGUUUGUUAAGUCAGAUGUGAAAGCCCGGGGCUCAACCUCGGAAUUGCAUUUGAAACUGGCAGACUAGAGUACUGUAGAGGGGGGUAGAAUUUCAGGUGUAGCGGUGAAAUGCGUAGAGAUCUGAAGGAAUACCGGUGGCGAAGGCGGCCCCCUGGACAGAUACUGACACUCAGAUGCGAAAGCGUGGGGAGCAAACAGGAUUAGAUACCCUGGUAGUCCACGCCGUAAACGAUGUCUACUUGGAGGUUGUGGCCUUGAGCCGUGGCUUUCGGAGCUAACGCGUUAAGUAGACCGCCUGGGGAGUACGGUCGCAAGAUUAAAACUCAAAUGAAUUGACGGGGGCCCGCACAAGCGGUGGAGCAUGUGGUUUAAUUCGAUGCAACGCGAAGAACCUUACCUACUCUUGACAUCCAGAGAACUUUCCAGAGAUGGAUUGGUGCCUUCGGGAACUCUGAGACAGGUGCUGCAUGGCUGUCGUCAGCUCGUGUUGUGAAAUGUUGGGUUAAGUCCCGCAACGAGCGCAACCCUUAUCCUUGUUUGCCAGCGAGUAAUGUCGGGAACUCCAGGGAGACUGCCGGUGAUAAACCGGAGGAAGGUGGGGACGACGUCAAGUCAUCAUGGCCCUUACGAGUAGGGCUACACACGUGCUACAAUGGCGCAUACAGAGGGCGGCCAACUUGCGAAAGUGAGCGAAUCCCAAAAAGUGCGUCGUAGUCCGGAUUGGAGUCUGCAACUCGACUCCAUGAAGUCGGAAUCGCUAGUAAUCGUGGAUCAGAAUGCCACGGUGAAUACGUUCCCGGGCCUUGUACACACCGCCCGUCACACCAUGGGGAGUGGGCUGCAAAAGAAGUAGGUAGUUUAACCUUCGGGGGGACGCUUACCACUUUGUGGUUCAUGACUGGGGUGAUCGU
rnacentral:rRNA from 1 species